ACUGUUCCCUGGGAUUGGCUUUGGGCCUUUCCUGCGCAGCUUAGGUGGAAGGCGAAGAAGGNCCGGGGGGGCCCGAGCCAUCAGUGAGAUACAACUCUGGAAGAGCUCGGAUUCUAACCUUGUGUCAGACCCGCGGGCCAAGGGACAGUCUCAGGUAGACAGUUUCUAUGGGGCGUAG
rnacentral:ncRNA from 1 species